rnacentral:rRNA from 1 species
UACGUAGGUGACAAGCGUUGUCCGGAUUUACUGGGCGUAAAGAGCGCGCAGGCGGUCGAUCAAGUCGAGUGUGAAAGCCCCCGGCUCAACUGGGGAGGGUCAUUCGAUACUGAUCGACUCGAAGGCAGGAGAGGGUAGUGGAAUUCCCGGUGUAGUGGUGAAAUGCGUAGAUAUCGGCAGGAACACCCAGGGGGAAACCAGCCGACUGGGCAUCUGCUGACGCUGAGGUGCGAGAGCGUGGGGAGCGAACCGG